GGGAGCCGCGAGGGAAGAAAGAGGGGGAAGAGGGAGACGGUGCAGUGGGCGUCACUGCCACCAGAGCCGCCGUCGAAUCACCAUGGGAGAGAAGGAGAGAGAAGCAGAACCGCGAAGAGAGAGAGAUCGACGGAGACGUUCACGCCGUUCGUCCUCGUCGCUACCAUGUGUUACCGCCGCCGCCGCUAGUUUUGCUACCGUUGAGCUCAAAGGAGAAAGGGAGAGUGACGCUGACAGAGAGAUUGACGGAAGCCAGUGAAGCGCAUGAGACAAGGGAAGAUGAUUCUAUGACCACCGCCACACCUAGUUGCCGUCGGUCGAGCUCGCCGUUGCUGGAUGUGAACCAGUGUCACGUCUUUGCGGCCAGAGCCACCAGCGCCACUACUGCUACAAUAGAGAUAGAAAAGUUAAUUUGCUGAACUUAUUAUUCACUGGUGGUUAAUCACGAGAUCCGUCUGGUGUUUGAAGGGCAUGGGACUAUUGUUGAGGUUGUUCUUUUAAAAGAUAAGAGAACUAGUGGACGACAAUGAUCUUCAGACGGAGAGGCCGGUAAUGCGGUGUGAAAGUUGGGGUGAGCUUUAUCCCAUCACAAAUCCAGUCCCUUCUCAAUUCACUUUUGCUGCUUUAGCACUAUCUCUUUGGCAUGACCGUUUGGGUCACCCGAGAGCAUCUGUUUUGAGCUGUCUUAGGAAGAAUAAAUUUAUUGAAUGUCAUCCAAUUAAAGAUACUCAUAUUUGUCAUUCUUGUCCUCUUGGAAAACAUAUUAAGUUGCCAUUUUAUGCUUCAAA